UUCUGGUUGAUCCUGCCAGUAGUCAUAUGCUUGUCUCAAAGAUUAAGCCAUGCAUGUCUAAGUAUAAGCAAAUUAUAUACUGUGAAACUGCGAAUGGCUCAUUAAAUCAGUUAUCGUUUAUUUGGUAGUACCUUACUACAUGGAUAACCGUGGUAAUUCUAGAGCUAAUACAUGCUAAAAACCUCGACUUCGGAAGGGGUGUAUUUAUUAGAUAAAAAACCAAUGCCCUUCGGGGCUCCCUGGUGAUUCAUAAUAACUUAACGAAUCGCAUGGCCUUGUGCCGGCGAUGGUUCAUUCAAAUUUCUGCCCUAUCAACUUUCGAUGGUAGGAUAGUGGCCUACCAUGGUUUCAACGGGUAACGGGGAAUUAGGGUUCUAUUCCGGAGAAGGAGCCUGAGAAACGGCUACUACAUCCAAGGAAGGCAGCAGGCGCGCAAAUUACCCAAUCCCGACACGGGGAGGUAGUGACAAUAAAUACUGAUACAGGGCUCUUUUGAGUCUUGUAAUUGGAAUGAGUACAAUUUAAAUACCUUAACGAGGAACAAUUGGAGGGCAAGUCUGGU
rnacentral:rRNA from 1 species